UAAGAGAUCUGGAGUGUGUCUUCCUCAGCAGAGGUCUGAGACAUUUGCACCAUGGCCUGGAGUCCCCUCUUCCUCCUCACUCUGUUCCUCAACUGCAAAGGGUCUCUCUCCCAGCCUUCACUGACUCAGACGCCCUCUGUAAGCGUCUCCCUGGGAGCUUCCUCCAAGCUCAUCUGCACCCUCAGCAGCGGCUACAAUAGCUACAGUGUGAACUGGUACCAGCAGGGACCAGGGAAGGGUCCCCGGUUUGUAAUGCGUGUGGGAACCAGUGGUCUUGUCGGAAAUAAGGGGAACGGGAUCCCUGAUCGCUUCUCAGGCUCAGGUUCUGGCCUGAAUCGGUACCUGAACAUCGAGAACAUCCAGGCAGAUGACGAGGCUGACUACUACUGUGGAGUUAAUCAUGGUAGUGGGAGUAGUUUCGUGUAA